GACGAACGCUGGCGGCGUGCUUAACACAUGCAAGUCGAACGGAAAGGCCUGCUUUCCCUUGUGGAUUGCGGGUACUCGAGUGGCGAACGGGUGAGUAACACGUGAGUGAUCUGCCCCCAACUUGGGUAUAAGCCUGGGAAACUGGGUCUAAUUCCCGAUAGGACUGCAGGGUGGUGCCUGUGGUGGAAAACGAUUUUCUAGUGGUUGGGGAUGAGCUCGCGGCCUAUCAGCUUGUUGGUGGGGUAAUGGCCUACCAGGGCGGCGACGGGUAGCCGGCCUGGGAGGGUGGACGGCGACAUUGAGACUGGGAUACGGCCCAGACUCCUACGAGAGGCAGCAGUGGGGAAUAUUGGACAAUGGGCGGAAGCCUGAUGCAGCGACGCCGCGUGGAGGAUGACGGCCUUCGGGUUGUAAACUCCUUUCGACCGCGAGGAAGCCACCUGGUUGGAAGGGUGGUGACGGUAGUGGUAGAAGAAGCACCGGCUAACUACGUG
rnacentral:rRNA from 1 species